UACGUAGGUGGCAAGCGUUGUCCGGAUUUACUGGGCGUAAAGGAUGCGUAGGCGGAUAUUUAAGUCAGAUGUGAAAAUCCCGGGCUCAACUUGGGAACUGCAUUUGAAACUGGGUAUCUAGAGUGCGGGAGAGGAGAGUGGAAUUCCUAGUGUAGCGGUGAAAUGCGUAGAGAUUAGGAAGAACACCAGUGGCGAAGGCGACUCUCUGGACCGUAACUGACGCUGAGGCAUGAAAGCGUGGGGAGCAAACAGG
rnacentral:rRNA from 1 species